rnacentral:rRNA from 1 species
AGAUGUGAUCAUACCAGCACUAAAGCACCGGAUCCCAUCAGAACUCUGAAGUUAAGCCACCGGAUCUCAUCAGAACUCCGAAGUUAAGCGUGCUUGGGCGAGAGUAGUACUAGGAUGGGUGAUCUCUUAGGAAGUCCUCGUGUUGCAUCCC